AAAAAAAAAAAAAAAAAAAAGGGAAAAAAAUUCCUGUUUGUCCUUUCUUUGAGCAAAACGUACCAUUUGGCUUAUUUCCGUGAAUUCCGCCGUUUUGUUCUUACUUGAGAUUGCAUUGGUUCGGUUUUGCCAUAGAGAAAAAUGGCUAUGCAGAAA
rnacentral:ribozyme from 1 species